GUAGGAGGCAAGCGUUAUCCGGAUUCACUGGGCGUAAAGCGCGUGCAGGUGGCGCGGUAAGUUGGGCGUGAAAUCUCCCGGCUCAACUGGGAGAGGUCGUCCAAUACUACCGUGCUUGAGAGCAGAAGAGGAAGAUGGAAUUCCCGGUGUAGUGGUGAAAUGCGUAGAUAUCGGGAGGAACACCAGUGGCGAAGGCGAUCUUCUGGUCUGUUUCUGACACUCAGACGCGACAGCUAGGGUAGUAAACGGGAUUAGAGACCCCGGUAAUCCUAGCCGUAAACGAUGUGAACUUGGCGUUGGUGGGUUAAACUCCAUCAGUGCCGUAGCAAACGCGAUAAGUUCACCGCCUGGGGACUACGGCCGCAAGGUUAAA
rnacentral:rRNA from 1 species